rnacentral:misc_RNA from 1 species
GAAAAAAAGAGUAUCCUCUUUCUUUGCUAUAUCUUUUGGUUUUCAGUCUUACUUGUUUGAAAAUUUACGAAUUAGUGAACACAUGUUGCUUUAGAAAGAUCCUUAAUGUUCAACAAAAAGAUAUCUGAAGAGGACAUAUGCAGUUAAUUUUGUUUCAACAUUCAAAGAGACCAAAAAAGUCUUCUAGUUUACUGCUUGUUUGAGAAUUCAGUUG